CACGUAGGUGGCAAGCGUUGUCCGGAAUUAUUGGGCGUAAAGCGCGCGCAGGCGGUCCUUUAAGUCUGAUGUGAAAGCCCACGGCUCAACCGUGGAGGGUCAUUGGAAACUGGGGGACUUGAGUGCAGGAGAGAAGAGUGGAAUUCCACGUGUAGCGGUGAAAUGCGUAGAGAUGUGGAGGAACACCAGUGGCGAAGGCGACAUCCUGGACCGGCAUUGACGCUGAGGAGCGAAAGCCAGGGGAGCAAACGGG
rnacentral:rRNA from 1 species